UACGUAGGGUGCAAGCGUUGUUCGGAAUUACUGGGCGUAAAGCGUACGUAGGCGGCUUUGUAAGUUAGAGGUGAAAGCCCGGGGCUCAACCCCGGAAUUGCCUUUAAGACUGCAUCGCUUGAACGUCGGAGAGGUGAGUGGAAUUCCGAGUGUAGAGGUGAAAUUCGUAGAUAUUCGGAAGAACACCAGUGGCGAAGGCGGCUCACUGGACGACUGUUGACGCUGAGGUACGAAAGCGUGGGGAGCAAACAGG
rnacentral:rRNA from 1 species